AGAGUUUGAUCCUGGCUCAGGACGAACGCUGGCGGCGUGCUUAACACAUGCAAGUCGAACGGUAAGGCCCCUUUUUUUGGGGUGUACGAGUGGCGAACGGGUGAGUAACACGUGAGUAACCUGCCCCAGACUUUGGGAUAACAGUUGGAAACGAUUGCUAAUACUGGAUAUGAGCUGCUGCCGCAUGGUGGUGGUUUGAAAGUUCCGGCGGUUUGGGAUGGGCUCGCGGCCUAUCAGCUUGUUGGUGAGGUGAUGGCUUACCAAGGCUUCGACGGGUAGCCGGCCUGAGAGGGCGACCGGCCACAUUGGGACUGAGAUACGGCCCAAACUCCUACGGGAGGCAGCAGUGGGGAAUAUUGCACAAUGGACGGAAGUCUGAUGCAGCAACGCCGCGUGCGGGAUGACGGCCUUCGGGUUGUAAACCGCUUUCAUCCAUGACGAAGCUUUUGUGACGGUAGUGGGUAAAGAAGCACCGGCUAACUACGUGCCAGCAGCCGCGGUGAUACGUAGGGUGCGAGCGUUGUCCGGAUUUAUUGGGCGUAAAGAGCUUGUAGGCGGUUUGUCGCGUCGGGAGUGAAAACUCGGAGCUUAACUUUGAGCUUGCUUUCGAUACGGGCUGACUUGAGGGAGGUAGGGGAGAAUGGAAUUCCUGGUGGAGCGGUGGAAUGCGCAGAUAUCAGGAGGAACACCGGUGGCGAAGGCGGUUCUCUGGACCUUUCCUGACGCUGAGAAGCGAAAGCGUGGGGAGCGAACAGGCUUAGAUACCCUGGUAGUCCACGCCGUAAACGGUGGGUACUAGGUGUGGGGGACAUUCCACGUUCUCCGUGCCGUAGCUAACGCAUUAAGUACCCCGCCUGGGGAGUACGGCCGCAAGGCUAAAACUCAAAGGAAUUGACGGGGCCCCGCACAAGCGGCGGAGCAUGCGGAUUAAUUCGAUGCAACGCGAAGAACCUUACCAAGGCUUGACAUGCAUUAGAUCGCGUCAGAGAUGGCGUUUCCCUUCGGGGCUGGUGUACAGGUGGUGCAUGGUUGUCGUCAGCUCGUGUCGUGAGAUGUUGGGUUAAGUCCC
rnacentral:rRNA from 1 species